rnacentral:rRNA from 1 species
UACGGAGGGUGCGAGCGUUAAUCGGAAUCACUGGGCGUAAAGCGCGCGUAGGCGGCUUUUCAGGUCAGGGGUGAAAUCCCACGGCCCAACCGUGGAACUGCCUUUGAAACUGUAGAGCUUGAGUGUCGGAGAGGGUGGCGGAAUUCCAGGUGUAGGAGUGAAAUCCGUAGAUAUCUGGAGGAACACCGGUGGCGAAGGCGGCCACCUGGACGACAACUGACGCUGAGGUGCGAAAGCGUGGGUAGCAAACAGG